GCCCCUGUAGCUCAGCUGGUUAGAGCAGCGGACUCAUAAUCCGUCGGUCGCGGGUUCAAGUCCCGCCGGGGGCACCA
rnacentral:tRNA from 1 species